GAGUUUGAUCAUGGCUCAGAUUGAACGCUGGCGGCAGGCCUAACACAUGCAAGUCGGACGGUAACAGGAUUAGCUUGCUAAUUGCUGACGAGUGGCGGACGGGUGAGUAAUACUUAGGGAUCUGCCUUUGUGAGGGGGAUAACCAUUGGAAACGAUGGCUAAUACCGCAUAAUGCCUACGGACCAAAGGGGGCUUUUAGCUCUCGCACGAAGAGGAACCUAAGCGAGAUUAGCUAGUUGGUGGGGUAAAGGCUCACCAAGGCGACGAUCUCUAGCUGUUCUGAGAGGAAGAUCAGCCACACUGGGACUGAGACACGGCCCAGACUCCUACGGGAGGCAGCAGUGGGGAAUAUUGCACAAUGAGGGAAACCCUGAUGCAGCCAUGCCGCGUGUGUGAAGAAGGCCUUCGGGUUGUAAAGCACUUUCAGUCGUGAGGAAAGGUUGGUAGUUAAUACCUGCCAACUAUGACGUUAGCGACAGAAGAAGCACCGGCUAACUCCGUGCCAGCAGCCGCGGUAAUACGGAGGGUGCGAGCGUUAAUCGGAAUUACUGGGCGUAAAGCGCACGCAGGCGGUUUGUUAAGCUAGAUGUGAAAGCCCCGGGCUCAACCUGGGAGGGUCAUUUAGAACUGGCAGACUAGAGUCUUGGAGAGGGGAGUGGAAUUCCAGGUGUAGCGGUGAAAUGCGUAGAGAUCUGGAGGAACAUCAGUGGCGAAGGCGACUCCCUGGCCAAAGACUGACGCUCAUGUGCGAAAGUGUGGGUAGCGAACAGGAUUAGAUACCCUGGUAGUCCACACCGUAAACGCUGUCUACUAGCUGUUUGUGUAUUUNAUACGUGAGUAGCGAAAGCUAACGCGCUUANNUANACCGCCUGGGGGAGUACGGCCNCANGGUUAAAACUCAAAUGA
rnacentral:rRNA from 1 species